GGAUAUCUGGACACUCCCAAGUUUGGGUUCGUUUAGUAAACAUUAUUAAUUCAUUUCCUUAACUGUAAACAUCUAGAGGUUGGGAAUACCUUUCUGGGAAUGCAGCCCAGAUUCUGGGAAUGCAAGUCCCAACUGCAUUUUCCUAGCCCUCACUCAAGAUGGAGUCGCUCUGGUUCAAACACCUCUGACACCCCCUCUACAAGCUCCCGGGAUGUUUAAACAAGCCAUUCCCAGAGAGGCGAUGCAGAGGUGCAGGGCAGGCCCUGAGCCCUGGCCACAGGCGAUGCUUAAGCUGAGCGCUGAAAGGAGGGGUAAGAGUUCAGCAGGCGAGUUGUUAGAAGACUUGCAUUUCAAGCAGAAGAUCUGGAAAGACGCGCUGACCGAUUGGCGAAAGGCUGUGAGCUGUGGGUGGUGCGGAGACUGCGGAAGCUGAGGACAUGGAGCUAAGGCGGGCUCAGACUUCCUCCUGAGGGCAACAGUUUUUAGCUGGGGAGGAACAUGACCAAAUCUGCCUUUCCCAGUGACCUCUCUGAUCUCUUUGAUGCAGUGUAGAUCCGUGCUUAGCAAACUCAGAAGGCCCUGUCACCAGCAGGAAGGAAGAGACCCCACGACUGAGGGCAGUGGGCUAUGAGAUUUGUGACCCUUUCCUCUGCCUGCCUCUGCCCCUGCCCCUUGGGACCCUGCUGGACCAGGCAUCCAUCCUAUGGAACUUUCCAUGAAGUGUUGACCUCCCUGCCCCUGAGGCAUUGGGUGAGUGGCAGACAGGGGCCAGGAAAUGGAAUGAAAGCAGCCACUCUCUGAAGAGCUGGAGACUAUCAUCUGCCUCUGGAAGCCCAGGGAACCUCGGCUCAGACAGAAGGACACAGACUGCGGGAAGGGAGGAGACUGUGACAGAGAAGCAGAGGAGGGUGACAGAGUCAGGGAAGAACAAAACAGCCUGCAGUGGGAGCAGAGACAGAAAUG